UCCACGCCGUAAACGAUGGUCACUAGUUGUUGGGGUCUUGUACCUCAGUGAUUAAGAGAAAUUGAUAAGUGACCCACCUGGGGAGUACGAUCGCAAGAUUGAAACUCAAAGGAAUUGACGGGGGCCCGCACAAGCGGUGGAGCAUGUGGUUUAAUUCGAUGAUACGCGAGGAACCUUACCAGGGCUUAAAUGUAGGUUGCAUUAGUUAGAGAUAGCUAUUUCUUCGGACUACU
rnacentral:rRNA from 1 species